CGCACAUUGCGCCCAUGAGUAUUCUCUUGGGCAUGCCUGUUCGAGCGUCAUUUCGACCCUUAAGCCUAGCUUAGUGUUGGGAAUCUACUGCGGGUGUGUAGCCCCCUAGUUCCUGAAAACCAACGGCGGACUUGUAGUAUCCUCUGAGCGCAGUAACAAAUCUCGCUUCUGUCAGGUGCUGUGGAUCUAGCCGCUAAACCCUUAAUUUUAAUGGUUGACCUCGGAUCAGGUAGGAAUACCCGCUGAACUUAA
rnacentral:misc_RNA from 1 species